rnacentral:tRNA from 2 species
GGCAGCGUAGCUCAGUAGGCAGAGCAGGGGACUCAUAAGCCCCGUGUCGCAGGUUCGAGUCCUGCCGCUGCUACCA